AUGCCAUCUGCAGAAGACCAGAGUACAACUGAUGCAGGUGCCAAGCCGGGCACGAGUGAUGAAGGUGAACGUCCGGAGCAGACUGCGCCUUUACCCGCAGUGGAAAUCCCCAGCUUAAAUCUGCACACUUCCAAACUCCCAAUAAACAUCGGUGUCCCCUACAGCCCUAACAAGACGAUUGUCAACAAAUCUAUGCCUGUCAGCACUGAGAGCACACCCCGCCCUAUUGGCAAGCCUGAUUAUUCUGCAGCGGCUGAUCUAGAAGAUAUGUUUGUUGAUCUUUCACCGUUGGAUUCUGCCCCGCAAGUUGUUCGCGGUCCGGCCAGUAGGCAUGAGAGGCACCCAAUGGCCUUCACCCUACCGAGCUUCAGCCUUGGCGUCAGUCAAGAUCAACAAGUGGCUCAAGAUCCUAUGCCAGUUGCCUUUGCUUUUUCUGGAGGCGUGCCCGCAAUGAUGGUGCAGCCAAUGGUUGAGGGCAGGAAGGCUGUCAAGUUCGCAGGGCCUAUCGUCCAAGCCACCCCUGAGGAGAUUUCACCGUCACUUCAUGAAGCUUACCGCAGGAUCGCGGAGGCAGCAUUGCAGAGGAGGUCUUCACGAGGGCAGGGGCAAUCAAGUUCCAACGUGCCUGCAAAUACGGUAUCUGAGGAUACCAUUAGGAGUGCCACCCCUGGUUCUGUGAGGCAGCAGAGGGUAGUUCACCCACCUCCCGCGGAAGACUACGAGCCCGAAUUCAGGGCCACAAAGGAACAAAACCAGUUGUAUGAUAUUGUCAAGCGGUUUGGAAAUGCGAGGUCCAGCAACAAGCACAUGAAGGAGCUGAAAGCGUAA
rnacentral:rRNA from 1 species